ACUUCAAUUUGUCCGCUAAGCCCACUCGUAAUGAGAAGGUCGUCAGUUCGAUUCUGACAGGCGGCUCCA
rnacentral:tRNA from 1 species